CAGGUGUUGCAAACAGGAACUCUCCAUGUAUUCAAACUUGGGGAGCGGAUUACCGUGGAGUGGAACUUCCAGCCCACAGGGCACCUGCCCGCCGGGAGACUGAGGCACUGCUUGUCCUCAGCGGGUGUCCAAGCCUGUGGAGGCCCAGGAAGACCUCACACGCUGGGACUUGGCAGGCAGACGACAGCCCAGGGGCACUGGAGGGUGCUGUGGUGUGACUGUGUCUUCCAGAUUUCCGGUCUUGCAAACUUUAUCCCCAAGUCCUGAGUUAAUGAGGUUGGACAGGGCUGGUCCUGAGUUGCUCUGACCGGCAGGCUUUGCGGCUCUCAUCUCAAUCUCUCAGAACUCUUUGCUGAGACCGCUACAGAAGGGACUACUCACCAGGCUGAAGGAUGAGAGGCCACGUGGAGGAGAACGGAGGUGGUCCAGCCAAGUCAGCACACCCCCCCACCAAACUCCCGGGUGACGCCAUCUUGGACUGUCCACUCCAACUGCUCACCCACAAAUGCUGCCUCGUGAGUGAGCCCAGGCAAGACCAGCCGAGAAACUGUCCAGCCAAUCAGCAGGAUUGUGAGAAAGAACACAUCAGUAUUGUCUUAAGCCGGAAACUUCUCAGAAGAUAAAAGAGCCGCUUGCUAGGACAGGCCCUGCAGAUCAGAGCAGCAGGGUGAAGCUGCUGCCUGCGACACGGGUGUCCCAUAUUGAAGUGCCGGCGGGAGUCCCAGCUGCUCCACUCCCCAUCCAGAUCGCUGUGAUUUCGC